AGGGUUUGAUUAUGGCUCAGGAUGAACGCUAGCUACAGGCUUAACACAUGCAAGUCGAGGGGAAACGACAUCGAAAGCUUGCUUUUGAUGGGCGUCGACCGGCGCACGGGUGAGUAACGCGUAUCCAACCUGCCCACCACUUGGGGAUAACCUUGCGAAAGUAAGACUAAUACCCAAUGAUAUCUCUAGAAGACAUCUGAAAGAGAUUAAAGAUUUAUCGGUGAUGGAUGGGGAUGCGUCUGAUUAGCUUGUUGGCGGGGUAACGGCCCACCAAGGCAACGAUCAGUAGGGGUUCUGAGAGGAAGGUCCCCCACAUUGGAACUGAGACACGGUCCAA
rnacentral:rRNA from 1 species